GACGAACCGUACGAACGUUAUUCGGAAUUACUGGGCUUAAAGGGUGCGUAGGCGGCGCGGAAAGUAGGGUGUGAAAUCCCUCGGCUCAACCGAGGAACUGCGCUCUAAACUACCGUGCUCGAGGGAGAUAGAGGUGAGCGGAACUGAGGGUGGAGCGGUGAAAUGCGUUGAUAUCCUCAGGAACACCGGUGGCGAAAGCGGCUCACUGGGAUCUCUUCUGACGCUGAGGCACGAAAGCUAGGGUAGCGAACGGG
rnacentral:rRNA from 1 species